GACGAACGCUGGCGGCAUGCCUAACACAUGCAAGUCGAGCGAGUUGAUCCCUUCGGGGUGAAGCUAGCGGCGGACGGGUGAGUAACACGUGGGCAACCUGCCUCAUAGAGGGGAAUAGCCUUCCGAAAGGAAGAUUAAUACCGCAUAAGAUUGUAGCUUCGCAUGAAGCAGCAAUUAAAGGAGCAAUCCGCUAUGAGACGGGCCCGCGGCGCAUUAGCUAGUUGGUGAGGUAACGGCUCACAAAGGCGACGAUGCGUAGCCGACCUGAGAGGGUGAUCGGCCACAUUGGGACUGAGACACGGCCCAGACUCCUACGGGUGGCAGCAGUGGGGAAUAUUGCACAAUGGGGGAAACCCUGAUGCAGCAAUGCCGCGUGAGUGAUGACGGCCUUCGGGUUGUAAAGCUCUGUCUUCGGGGACGAUAAUGACGGUACCCGAGGAGGAAGCCACGGCUAACUACGUGCCAGCCGCCGCGGUAA
rnacentral:rRNA from 1 species